rnacentral:lncRNA from 1 species
GUAUGUAUCUUUUCUGGCUUUAAUUUACUUAAUUCGUUGAAAUAUGAAACACUGAAAAUUUAGGAUUUUUAUCUAGGUGCGCCGGGGAGCCCAAGACCAUGGGCUGAACGGCCUUUAGGGUUUCUGAGACUAUUUAUUGCACCUUAACUCCUAGGGUUUGUCUAAUCUUGAUCCAUCUUAGUUCUAGAACGUCCAUUUGGAGAAAACAUAACCUUCUUUGAGUGUUGUGUGCUUAUCCUCCCUAUGCUUGAACCUCAUUUACGGCUUAUUUUGUGCGUUUUAGUGAAGGGAUCAAGAAAGGUGGUGUCUAGGAGCUUGAAGCUUGAAGAUCUUUGCAUUCUCCAUACUUCUGGACCAUUGUAAGUCAUAAAGAUCCAUGCUUUAUUGUGUUUCCUUUUUAGAUCUAAGAGUAUUUGGUGUUUUGGUCCUUAGUUAUGAAGAUUUGGUCCCUUUAUGGCUUGAUCUAUGGAGUUUGGACAACUCAUUGAUCUUUGAGUUAUGUUCUACUUCACAUAUGAUGUUUAUAUGGUGUUGAGAGUGCAUGAAAGAUCUCUCUUUACUCUACGCAUGAAGAAAAAUAGAUUCAUGGACUUUUUGGAAACUAGGGUUUUGGACCUAUUUGGUUUGGGGUGUUUUAAUGGAUAAAUUUUCCAUUAAGACAUCAUUUAGGUCCAUAUUUGAGAGUUAGAAAUUUGGGCUUAAGAGAUUAAGUCGAACGUGGGGCGCCUCCUAAAGGCGUCGAGGUCGGGGCACUUUUUGGGUUUUCUAAGAUGCGACUUUUUUUUUAUGCCAAGUCCCAACUAUUUUGUCCUGUAGUGUACACUGGGCGCUUAAGAGAGGUGUGGGUUGACCAAAAGUUUGACUUUUUUCUAAGUAUUUGAAAUAUGGAAUACAAAACCCCCUAGGGCUUGAAGAGGUUAAUUAACAUUUUUUUACUAUUUUAGAUGAAUAUAACUUCUUACAUGUUUUGUUUUGAAUUUUCAUGAAGGAUUAUGGAGUGGAAGAUCGACCAUUUGGUUGGAUUUUUGGUUGAUUUCAACAUCAAUUUGUACUUUCAAGUUUAAGAAAUGUAGAUGUUA